ensembl:lncRNA
UACACUAUAUCAUACAUGCUUAUUUAUAAUAAAUAUUAAAUAUUGGGAAAAAUAUCAGAAUAUUAAUAGUGACUUUUUGUAGUUGGAGGCAUUAUAGGAAUAUAUGAUAAAUAAAUAAUCUUUAUAAAUUGUUAUGUUUUCGACAGGAAAACGAUGUGCUUAUUUAAAAUAUAAAGAAGCAAACAUUCUUAGAGAAAGGAAGCGGGAGUGCAGGAGCAAUUCCAGUGGUCUAAGUAGGCACAACAGGCUGAAUAAUAUUAAGGAAAUGACAACACUACAGGAAGGGAUGGAGUUAGCUAAGAGGAGACAGAUACAACUUAGGUGA